ACACCGCACCCAGAACUUCCUAGAUCAAAUCAGUUUAUUUAUCAAAGUAGACUCAGAAUUCUGAUUUUUCUGCGUCACCUAUUUAAUGUGUUCUCUACAACAAAGGGUAUCAUAGUCGGAAUGGUACAUUGGCUUGUUGAUAAUAGGUGCGUAAUCGAUUUUAGAUCUGCUCUAUUAUAAGAGAUCUUCACAUCUUUGUUGUGUUAUCUGUUAAUAUGUUAUUAUUUUGUUUCUUUUGUGUUAUGUAUUUUACUAUUCUAAUAUGUACAAACCAGUCCAGCUAGUCAUUUACAUUGUUGUGCAAGAUAUAUUCGUGAAAGUUGGUCGUUUGCAUAUGCUUGUGGAUUAUGUACUGUGCAAGUCAUAUUGAAUUAUUAUACUUGUGACUGUUGUUACCUUGAAUGAGAAUGUGAAGUGGCAGAAGCAGAAGCGAUAAAUGCAUUUAUAAUUAUGUUAUGGUUAAUAUGAAACCGAAGGUUCCGACCAAAACUGUUUGUGAAGAGCAUCCGGAAUCAAGAAAAGAGAUACUAACUGUUUUGAAUCUUCAAAAACAAUACAAGGAGGCUGAAGGUUCAUCUUACCGUGAGGGCUCAUUUCCCGAUAAAUCGCAUGCUUACAGUUCUUCUAUGUAGGAACUUGACGUCUUCGCUUGGAGACCCUUGAUUAUAUCAAAGUAGUUUUUGAACUCUCAAUUAUAGUAUUUUGAUUGUUGUUGAAUUGUCGAAUAUAUGGAUGUAGUUUUUUAGAUUAGAUGGAUGUGUAGUAGUCGAUUGAUAUUGGAUUUGAUGGAUGUGUAGUAUGUGAGAUUGGAAUUUGAUGGAUGUAUAGAAUAUAAUUGGUUUAUUUCUGCAUUAAUAAGAUUUAGUUGAUUUGGUUGU